rnacentral:rRNA from 1 species
AGGACGAACGCUGGCGGCGUGCCUAACACAUGCAAGUCGAACGGGGAUUUGUUUCGGCAGAAUCCUAGUGGCGAACGGGUGAGUAACGCGUAGGCAACCUGCCCUCCGGCCGGGGGACAACACUCCGAAAGGGGUGCUAAUACCGGAUACGAAGUCUGUGCCGCAUGGUACGGAUUUGAAAGAUGGCCUCUAUUUAUAAGCUAUCGCCGGGGGAUGGGCCUGCGUCCGAUUAGCUGGUUGGUGGGGUAACGGCCUACCAAGGCGACGAUCGGUAGCCGGUCUGAGAGGAUGAACGGCCACAUUGGGACUGAGACACGGCCCAGACUCCUACGGGAGGCAGCAGUGGGGAAUCUUCCGCAAUGGGCGCAAGCCUGACGGAGCAACGCCGCGUGAGUGAAGAAGGCCUUCGGGUUGUAAAGCUCUGUUGUAAGGGACGAAUGUCUAGGGUAGUAACUGACCUUAGAAUGACGGUACCUUACCAGCAAGCCCCGGCUAACUACGUGCCAGCAGCAGC